AUGAGUUGGAGCUGUGCAAGGAACUCUACCUAUUCCUGUCCUGGCAGUAGCCAGGAGACAUUUGUAGAAACACGCCUUCUUUUUUUCCAGGUUGGAAGAAGAAGGCUUUGUGGAAUAGUUUGUUCACAUACUGAUAGGAUUUUUCUAAAACUCGACUUAUCCUGUCUAACCUGGUUAAUACAGACCACAGAAGUCUGUUGAGGUUCUUACUAUUCCAGAAGGAGUGCAAACUGUCUCCAGUAUUCAGCACUGAGAAAAAUAGCCAUUUGAAAAACUGUUGGACCCAAUUCUCAGCUGGUGUUUCUAAGCCCUAUUGCAUUGAUUUUAAACUCUCAAAGGCAAUGGAAGCUUUGAGAUAGUGACAAUACCGAUCACAGUGUACAAAGAAUACUUCAGAUGUAACAGGCUGUAAAACAGCUAUAUUAAAUCUUAUGUACAGUGGUUAAUGAUUCUGUUUGAAAAUUGCAUUGUAUCUUAAUGUGCUCUCCCCUUUGCUACUUCUUCUUGAACCACCCAAGAGCCAAAAUAAGCCACCUGUGAUUGCAGUCUCAUAGAAUCAGGAUAAUUGCCCAGAUCAGUAGUUACGGUCAACCUACAGACAAAUAAGAAAGGAAGGUGAAAGUGUCUGACAAGUGAUUUAAUGGUUCACCUUUUCAUAACUCUUUGCUGUCUGCUUCAUGUGGCACUGGGCUUACUGUAGCAGCUUAGAGCAAACUCUGAGGAAGGGGUUGGAGAUGGAGGGUGGGGAGCUCUCCCUCUUAGCCUUAAAUCUAUGGAAGAACAUUAAGGCAUGCCAGAGGAGACAAUUGUAUAACUGCUUUUUUCUGGUACCAUUUAACUAGUCAGGAGAGUAAGACAAAAUCUUCAAUGUUCAACGCAUCUCUAGCACUACUCUGUAUGCUGUCUUUGAAGGAGACACUUCUUUUUUUUUUUAGAUCCACUUACUUUGACAGUUACUAUUACAAAACAUAAUCUGGAAUCUAUCAAAUGAAGUGUAAAGAUAUCUGACAUUUCAGCAUGUAUUCAAAUGAGACCCAAACGCAGCUGCCUGAGCAUUCACUGGCAUGAUCAACUGCCAUUUUUCAAAGAAAUUUGGAAAGAGUUAGAAAAUUCAUUCUUUCAGUAUGACUAAUCAUGUAAAUAUUCUCAUCUACAAAUGUAACAGGAAGGGGUUUUAAAAAUUACAGCCCAAGCAAUACCGUUUUCUAAUAUGGCAUUAGUGAUAUUUUGGAAUGUGAGAUAAAUGUUACAUUGAUCAAUCGAUUGUCCAGUCUGCAGCCUCAUCAUUUUUGGUGUGAUGAGCCAUUUUUUUCCAGGUGUAGGACCUACAUCAAAUGCAAUUAUCAUUUAAUCCAUCUUGAACAAUAUAAAGUGCAUGAAGGCUUACUGGAUCAAUUAAGAAGUUAGAUCACUUCAUCAGUAUAAUAAUACAAGAUUAUUUUAAAAACUGAUCUCUUUUCUUUUAUACAAUCAGUUUUGUAUAUAUGAGGCAAAGCUGAGGGCAGACCUAAAUUACACAUGAAACUAUUUUAUUAUCAAAACAGCAGUCCUAAGAUUGAAAUCAGGUUAUUACUGAGUCAGUUAAAUAAACCAAAACAUAAUAUAAACA
rnacentral:lncRNA from 1 species